CCGUUGAACUCCAAGGUAUGGUGUUGGGAGAGAGGUGGUUGGAAAUCCCCCAGACAAACAAGAUUCUUAAUGCCUACCAAAGUAAAGCCACCACAAACAGCAAGGGAGAAAAUUGUGUAAACACAAGAGUGUAUCCUUUUAUCAUCUUUGAUCCAAAUGUUGCAACAUUUCUCUAAUCCAGGGAAUGUAUAUGAGUAGUUAAGAAUGUGGGACUGUUUUGUGACCUGGCUAGAGGGCCAAGUCAUGAAGAGAGAGUACCCUGAGUCACGGGGGGAGAGAGGAACCACAGCAUGAGUGACUGACAGACGGGGGCCCAAGAUGGGGUGAAAGCUAAUUCUCAGAUCCAGCUGCGAGGAAGCAUGUCUAUGCUGGCCCUGUGGCAGAACCAUCAAUGCCCAGACUGAAAACUGCACAUUUAUAGAGUCUUCUGUGCCUUUAGCAGUGUACACUGCAGGUAAAUGAGAUGCUAUAAACCAACUCAAACCCUCUGAGAGAAUAAUGCAUUGGAGUGGUAAUGCUCUAGAAGUACUUUACACAGCUUUCUGUGAAACAUGAUCCACAUACCAGGUGCUUGCAAAACAAUCAAACAGAAAAAAGGCCAGGCAAACCAAAAUAGCAUAUUGUCUGUAAUCUUUAAAUAGCUUAUUAUCCAUAGUAAGUGUGGAAAAUAAACUGGCAGAGGGAAUUUCCUGGGAAUUAGUGACCAGUACGGUUAAUAGUGCUUUACUCUGCCUUGGACCAUCAACUCCUCAUAGCUAGUUAUUAAUCUUAGGAUAUGAUGCACACCUCAGUCUGUAGUUUUAGGAUUGUGAAAUAUGAUCUUUUUAAAAGAACAAAAAUACACAAUUCUCAUUGAAGUCAAAAGAAAUGCUCCCAUUGACAUCAGUGGGGUCUAGUUUAGACCCCCAAUAAGUUAAAAAUGUUUGUGCAAUAGUAUGGUUCUUCAUUUGUGCAAAGAGCAGCUAUAGCAACAGUAUUGGUAGCAAUCAUCACCAAUAUACAUCAAUUGUGACUUGGCAGGAUUGCCUGUAUUUAGAGAGAGGAGUAGGAUAAGCAGUCACCAUUCCCCUUGAGUGUUUGUCCUCUAUGCUAAUACUCCCAGUAAAGGAGACUUGUAAAGGUGGCUUUUGUGAUAUGAAUGAAAAUAGCCCACCAACCUAAUACACAUAGGCAAGAUAUCACUUCUUGGGAUAUUAUGGUCUUUCUAUUAAUCAUGUGACUUGCACUUGAAAACAGAGCUUUACGAAAACUGAAAAUGUCUUGAUAAAGAUCUAAUGUUUUGUAUGGUGAAAAAAAAUCUAAUGAAAUGAAAAAUGCUGACCAGUGCUACUUGAGGAGAAUGAAGAUUUUUCAUGUUUUGAAUACUUGAAUACAAUUUUUUGUGCAAAUUUGUAUUUCGAGGCCUUGACUAAAGGCAAAGGACUAAAGUAGGUGCUUAAUUUAAGCCGGGCAAGAAUUGGGGAAGAGUAGAGAAGGAUUCCUUUGAGGUGACAUUUACAAAAUAUUAACUCUGGUAUGCUGAAGAGAGAGAAAACGCCUUUCAGUGUUCCUUUCUACAAUGCAAUGAGCAUGUAUUAGAAGAAAAUAUUCCCUGAUGUUAAUCAUGCUACUUGUUUUCAAAGGUAAAGUGAUAUUGUAUUUCUAAUUGUAUAUCCAAUUCCUGUCCAAAUAUAUCUGCACCACCUGUUUACUUGAAGUAGAGUUUGUAUUACAAGGAUGUGUGACGCUACAUCCUUCAUAUUCUUCAUAAAAAUAUUAUUGUUAUGCCAUAUUCAUAUAUUUGAGAUGUUUUAUGCAAGGUGGGACAUGUGAGGUAUCAUUGGAAAGGUUAUGAUAUGCUGAAUGUGUUUAUCUAAUAUGUAUGUAUCAUUUCUGUAUCUGAAGUUAGGAAUAUUGACUAUGUAACAAUUACAACUAUGUGUGUACUUGGGGGAACACCCACCAGACAGUAGGCAAUCAGCCUGGAUGGGCCAUUAGUAUCUUCAAAGUUCUAUUGUUCUUUCUUAAUCUCCCACCUUCCUGAGAAGCUUCCUAGGAUGCUGCUUUGACACUACAAGGUCAUGUGAUGUCACCUGGUACAGAGUACCACCUUGGACACUGCUGGUAUGUUUUCAGUGGAAAUAAAGGAUUCCUGCCUUAUGUAAAUCCUAUUUAAGGCUGGGAAGUGAGUCAAUCAGGGCUCUUCUCCAUUGCCUCCCAGUCGAAGAAGGAAGACUGCUGAAAACACACAAAGGAACUAAGCUGGGGAAAGGCAAGGGCUGAGUCCAGGCUGAGACAGGGGUCUAGCCUGUAAAGAGAAAUAACUAGAACUCUGAGCUGCAGAAACUCUGCAACCUGCCUAAAAUGACAUUUAUGGUGAGAAAUUAUUAUUUGUAACCUGUUUCUUUCGUGUAAUAAGCUUAGUUUGUGUGUUUUGUUUUAUUUGCUCAGUAAUCUGCUUUGUUCUGUUUGCCAUUCCUUAUAAUCACUUAAAAUUUACCUUUUAUAGUGAAUACACUUAUUUUUUUUGUUUAUUCCAAAACCCAGUUUGUGCAAUUCGUAUCUGGGGGGCAAAAAGCUGUGCAUAUCUCCCUCCAUAUUGAGGGAGGGGGCAAUUUUAUGAGCUUGCACUGUACAGAUUGCUCAAUACAGCAUAAGACAAUAUUAUUUUGGGUUUACACCCCAAAGGAGGUGUGCAUGUGAGUGCUGGGUAAAUCCCCAAGCUGAAUCCUCCCCCACACAGCUGAUUUCAGUCUGUGUCUGCAGCUGGGUGUAGCCUUACCUCUGUGUGUGUGCGUGCUAGAAAAGGCUUGAGGGCCUGGCACAGCAAGGACCGGGGGAGGAAGCCCAGGCUGGUGGAACUGGGAGGCUCAGUGGGACCACAGCAUAUCCUUUUGUACCCUGAAAGGGGAGAUCCAAGCUGUCACAGUGGUGCAGCAAGCAGGGUGAUCUGCACAGCUUGAUGCUCUGAGACACUGGUUAUGAUUUUAAGUGAAUUUUAAGUGUGCUGGCUAGAGAACAGACAAAGUGGUAACUGGUUUGUUAUUUUCUGUUCGCUUAUUUCGGGAAAGGGAAGUAAGUGUAAGUAAGUUUUGCCUGUUAAGGAGUAGAGCGUCCCUUUUUUCCCUGACAUCAAUUUCCUUUUAAGAGUCGGGUAACCAUCUUUGAUGUUGAGAAGUGGAAUGGAUGAUUUAUAUUUCAGCCUUAUUUACAGUAGAUGGACUAUGUGUUUAAUGACAAUUGUAUGGAAAUUUCCCAGAUGAAUAUUUAUGAAUGUGAAAUAUGAGUUCAGUGCUUCCGGCUGUGUGUAUUGCCACAAACAUUUCUUUGAACGGCUGUAUUGAAUUUUGUCAGACUCAGCACAAUUGAGAAAUCUUUCAGGGAACUACCAAACUGCUGCUUCUGUGUGUGUAUAUAUAUGUCCCUUUGGUAUCUUAUAAUAAAGACUUGAAUACGUACUGUUUUACUGGCAGUAAAGCCAGCAAUAAUGUCUUAGUAGAAUCAGAAAAAAUAACUAAGCACCCUAAAUGUCUGAAAUAAAGAGAUAAUUGAAAUUACUUUGUGUUUAGGCCUCAGCAGUUUCCUGCUUUAUAAUAUCUCAGGUGAUCAUUUAUACUUAAUGAAAUGCAAUGAAAUGAGUAUAUUAUUGAUUUAGAAUGUAAAAGUUUGGUUUGAGUCUACCGUAGGUCUCAUUGAUACAUAGAACAUUUAUGAAAGAAACAAAUUGUUUAAAUUGCAUCUUAUUAUAUUCAGUGAAAAA